AUAAGUGUUGUAUUCCAUCUAAUUACCACUGUAAGUCCAUCUGAAGGAAUUCAAAAGCAAGAAGGUGAAGAAAGCAAGGAUUACCUAAUUUGAGGGAACGACCAAGUAAUUUCCAUUGCUAUUAUUCUAAUAAAUCGAGUUUUCCAAUUACACCUCAACCCUUAAAUACUAAACCCUAAACUCUAAUUAAUAAAUCUUAAACCCAAAUAUAAAUCAUAAAUCCAAAUAUAAAACCAAAACCCAAAUAAAAUGGAAAAUAAAUAAAUAACAUAGUACAUAUCAAAAAUAUUAUGAUAUAUCUAUAAUUACAUGAAAGAAGUUAAUGUUGACCCCAAACAUACUCCUUCACAUUCUAAAUGCUUAACCAAUGUUAACCCCAUUUUUUUAUAAACUAAACCCAAAUUUUUAAAGGCCUGUAAAAUGCAUUACCAUUCUACAUGAGGGCAUAUAGAAUAGAAAUGACAAAAAUGUAUUUGCAAUGUAAAGAUCAUCUUAACAUAUUUUUCAAAUGCUAAUAUGGUCAUACCUUCAUGGAAGGUGGUAAUGCUUGUCCCAAUGCCAACUCUAAUCGUACAUAAACUAAACCCUAUCAACUAUCACUAAAUCCUACAUAAAAAUAUAAACCCUAAUCCAAUGUCAACUCCAAUGUUCCAUAAAUUAAACCCUAUCCACUAAUCACUAAACCCUAUAUGGAAAUAUAAACCCUAAUCCAAUGUC
rnacentral:lncRNA from 1 species